rnacentral:rRNA from 1 species
CCCAAGAGAUCGGGAUAGCACCUGGAAACAGAUGCUAAUACCGGAUAACAANAGAUGAUGCCUAUCAACUGUUUAAAAGAUGGUUCUGCUAUCACUCUUGGAUGGACCUGCGGUGCAUUAGCUAGUUGGUAGGGUAACGGCCUACCAAGGCGAUGAUGCAUAGCCGAGUUGAGAGACUGAUCGGCCACAUUGGGACUGAGACACGGCCCAAACUCCUACGGGAGGCAGCAGCU